CGCGUAGGUGGUUAGGUAAGCGAGAUGUGAAAGCCCCGGGCUUAACCUGGGAACGGCAUUUCGAACUGUCUGACUAGAGUAUGGUAGAGGGUAGUGGAAUUUCCUGUGUAGCGGUGAAAUGCGUAGAUAUAGGAAGGAACACCAGUGGCGAAGGCGGCUACCUGGACCAAUACUGACACUGAGGUGCGAAAGCGUGGAGAGCAAACA
rnacentral:rRNA from 1 species